CCGAGAAGGGGAUAUGGCGAAAUCGGUAGA
rnacentral:tRNA from 1 species